AUUGAACGCUGGCGGCAUGCUUUACACAUGCAAGUCGAACGGUAACAGGCCGCAAGGCGCUGACGAGUGGCGAACGGGUGAGUAAUGCAUCGGAACGUGCCCAGUCGUGGGGGAUAACGCAGCGAAAGCUGUGCUAAUACCGCAUACGAUCUAUGGAUGAAAGCGGGGGACCGUAAGGCCUCGCGCGAUUGGAGCGGCCGAUGUCAGAUUAGGUAGUUGGGGGGGUAAAGGCCAACCAAGCCGACGAUCUGUAGCUGGUCUGAGAGGACGACCAGCCACACUGGGACGGAGACACGGCCCAGACUCCUACGGGAGGCAGCAGUGGGGAAUUUUGGACAAUGGGCGCAAGCCUGAUCCAGCAAUGCCGCGUGCAGGAAGAAGGCCUUCGGGUUGUAAACUGCUUUUGUACGGAACGAAACGGUCUGGGUUAAUACCCUGGGCUAAUGACGGUACCGUAAGAAUAAGCACCGGCUAACUACGUGCCAGCCGCCGCCGUAAGAC
rnacentral:rRNA from 1 species